rnacentral:rRNA from 1 species
UACACAUGCAAGUCGAACGCGCAGCAUUCUGUAGCAAUACAGGGUGUGGGCGCGUGGCGAACGGGUGCGUAACACGUGGAUAACCUUCCUUCAGGUGGGGAAUUAACCCAGUGAAAACUGGGCUAAUACCGCAUAACAUGACGAUGGCACAUGCUGUUGUCUUCAAAGGCGCAAGUCGCCAGAAGAGGGAUCCGCGGCCGAUUAGCUUGUUGGCGAGGUAAUGGCUCACCAAGGCAUUGAUCGGUACCGGACUGAGAGGUUGGCCGGCCACACUGGAACUGAGACACGGUCCAGACUCCUACGGGAGGCAGCAGUGGGGAAUCUUGCACAAUGGACGAAAGUCUGAUGCAGCAACGCCGCGUGGGGGAUGAAGCUUCUCGGAGUGUAAACCCCUUUCGACCCGGAAGAAUGCCCGAAGGGUUUGACGGUACGGGUAUAAGAAGCCCCGGCUAACUACGUGCCAGCAGCCGCGGUAAAACGUAGGGGGCCAGCGUUGCUCGGAAUUACUGGGCGUAAAGGGUCCGUAGGCGGUGUGGCAAGUCGGUAGUGAAAUCUCUGGGCUUUAACC